rnacentral:rRNA from 1 species
AGGGUGCGUAGGUGGGCAGGUAAGUCAGUGGUGAAAUCUCUGGGCUUAACCCAGAAACUGCCGUUGAUACUAUCUGUCUUGAAUAUAGUGGAGGUGAGCGGAAUAUGUCAUGUAGCGGUGAAAUGCUUAGAUAUGACAUAGAACACCCAUUGCGAAGGCAGCUCGCUACACUAUUAUUGACACUGAGGCACGAAAGCGUGGGGAUCAAACAGGAUUAGAUACCCUGGUAGUCCACGCCCUAAACGAUGGAUACUCGACAUCAGCGAUACACUGUUGGUGUCUGAGCGAAAGCAUUAAGUAUCCCACCUGGGAAGUACGACCGCAAGGUUGAAACUCAAAGGAAUUGA